GAGAUAUUUCAUCUUACAACUGUGUUUUACUAUAUUUUCAUUCAGCCCCCACUUAUGGAUGCCCACAGGAUAACUAAUAGUUGUCGACUAAUAAAUUAAUAAACACUUACAUCCGCUUAAAACUACAUUAUAGUGUGUUAUAAACCAUUUAUAGAAUAUACUGCAUUCAAAUGCCAAAUAGGGGAAUUUAAUGUAAAGUGUUAUUGCAGCACUGAAGGAAAUGAAAACUGAACUGACACAUGCAGCACAUAGGUCUUUCUUGACUGGAUUAUAAACAUUUCUCACAGCCUUGACUUGUUAAACACAGGUGUGACAUUUAUCCCAUUCAGGUGUUUCAGUGCCAUGGGUCUAUGGAUUGUGCAUGCUUGCUCACUGACAUGGUUUACUAGGAUUUCUAAAUGUAACAGGGCCAUCAUUAUAGGAUAGAUCCAUUGUUUUUCAGCCUGCGCCUUGUUUAAAUGUUAUUUACCAUUGUUUAUAAUAAUACGGAAUACAACUUCACAGAUUUAGUUUUGAGAAACCCGUAGUCUAAGAGGAAAACGGGAUGUUGCCAGUAAUGUCGGACAUGUCUAUAUGUUCCAUAGUUCUCCUGAUAAACAUGGUCACCAACUACGCUUUUUAUCAGGCUUUAUCGACUGUUUCCCUUUGUGACUUCUCUGCUGGAAACAGGAAGUUGUGUAACAUAAAGUCAGUUAACCUGAUAGAGGACAUGGUUUGUGGCCAUUUUUUGGUUGAACAUUUUAAAGAUAUAUUACUGUCAGUCCACACCCUCGCUGUUGAAGUUAUAGGCGGGACCUUCUCUUCAAAUCUAUAGUAGUGUGAUGUCAUUUCUAGAGCUACAGCGUCAAGUUCACAACACAACACAAUUCCCCUUUUAACUAGAGCCACGCUGCCUUCUCACAAGUUUGAGCAACCUCUGACAUUUGCAGUUAAAACAUCAUUAGGUAAUUUUAAGCAACACCUUCACUAUCAACUGAAAAGCUCAAACACAAAGCUUACAUUUUUAGAAAAGGAAAAACUCACUUUAAGGUAGGCAAGAUAAAGCACUAUUGUCAGAGUCUCAUGACUGUCAAACUCUGUGUCUCUGUGUGUCUCUCUCUGUGUCAAUGGUCUCUUGUGUUGUGCUGUGCAGAGGUUUAGGAGCAUGUGGCUGUGUGUCUCUGCCACGGAGGAAGAAUGACCUCUUUUGUGUACAAGUAUUCUAUAUAACAUUGCUCCUAGAUUUUAGGCCAGGAGAAACUAGCAUCUGUAGAGGACCUGAAGAAAGACAAAUGCUUUGGUCCAAUACUUGCUUUGCUCUCCCAAGUGUUUGCAAAUCUUGACACCCCAUUCUAACAGUUAAUGAAUUAUCUUGUUCUCCUCUGCUGUGUUAUGUUGCUGUGAACAGUAUGACCCUUCUCCUCUCAGCGGUGGAGCAAAAGGUUCUUACUUAUGAAUAAUGGAUGAAGCCAUUGCUCAACCAGAAGUUCACUGCUGUGUGCAGGCCACACCAUUACAACUUUAUUAUUGUACAAUGAAGCAAGGGAAGGGACACAGGGGGGAUGGCAGGAGAGAGGGUGGUGCAGGUGGACCAGCAGAUAAGUGUUUGUUAAUUUCAGCUUCAUUUCCCAGAGGAAAGGGGCAAUGCUAUGGCACAUUUCCUCUCAAAGAUUCUCUGUUCUUCGCUUUUUAUCACAUUGUACUUAUACCACACCAGCAUUUAAAUGAGGCACUUUAUUUUCAAUGGAAAUGCUUUUCUUGUCCAGCCCCUGCAGGGGAAAUGGUUUAUCAGCUGUUUCUAAUGUAGUCUGCUAUCUGGAGAUGUCCAUGUAUCACACGAAAACAGUUCAGUGCUAUUUAUGUAAGGCUGUGAGUUGGCAUCACAGGAGAUUGUUAUUAUAUUUCUCAUACUUCUUUUUUUUAUAAAUACCACCCCCAUUACAAUUGGAACUCAAACUACAGUACAUUGAACAAUUAAAGACCCUAAUGGCCCUAAAAAACUGAACUAAAACAACAAAAAGGAAAAAGCUAAAAAGUAGUAAAAGUCUCUUGAAAUAAUGAAGCACUUUGCAACAGUUUUCAGUUGUGGUUAUUGCAGUGUCACAGUGCUGCUGGAUGCUCACCUAAUGACAAUGUCUUAAAGUAGGUUCAAUGGCUGUGCAAACAAGUAGUGUUACUUGUAUCUGACAUAAAUAUCUAGUUUAUUAUAGUGUUAGAGUUCUCAGAUAUUU